GCCGGAGUGACGAAAUGGUAAACGUACUCGACUCAAAAUCGAGCGCUCGCAAGGGCUUGUGGGUUCAAGUCCCACCUCCGGCA
rnacentral:tRNA from 1 species